rnacentral:rRNA from 1 species
GAUGAACGCUGGCGGCGUGCCUAAUACAUGCAAGUCGAGCGAACAGACGAGGAGCUUGCUCCUCUGAUGUUAGCGGCGGACGGGUGAGUAACACGUGGAUAACCUACCUAUAAGACUGGGAUAACUUCGGGAAACCGGAGCUAAUACCGGAUAACAUGUUGAACCGCAUGGUUCAACAGUGAAAGACGGUCUUGCUGUCACUUAUAGAUGGAUCCGCGCCGCAUUAGCUAGUUGGUAAGGUAACGGCUUACCAAGGCAACGAUGCGUAGCCGACCUGAGAGGUUGAUCGGCCACACUGGAACUGAGACACGGUCCAGACUCCUACGGGAGGCAGCAGUAGGGAAUCUUCGGCAAAGGGCGAAAGCCUGACACAGCAACGCCGAGUGAGUGAAGAAGGUCUUCGGAUCGUAAAGCUCUGUUAUUAGGGAAGAACAAAUGUGUAAGUAAAUAUGGCCGUCUUGACGGUACCUAAUCAGAAAGCCCCGGCUAACUACGUG